ACUGGCAAUUUCUGUCUCUACAAAGUUUUCCUAACAAUUACAUUGUAUAAUUAUUUCCUCCUUUAUCCGUACUUUACCUAGAUGUAUAGAUACCAAAUUCAAGAAUUGUAUUUUGUACUCUUUGCAUCUUCAGACUAACAAGAAUAUUAAGAUAGCUGAUGUGCCUGAUUACGGAGUAGGGCCCAACAACAAUGCUUCAGGCACAGAGGAACAGGAACUCCCUAACUGGACCUGCUUUUUAAUGAAAAAUCUGGAACAUCAGAAGCAAGUGGUUUCCAUGAUUAAAAAACUUCAGGGAGAAGUCUUCUCUUUUGAUGACCCAGUAAUGGCAUUGGAGUGAUUUGAAGCUGUGACUGGAAAAGUAAUGGCAACCUGUGACUAGAAGGUCGUAACACAAUAUUUACUGUAAGCUGUCAAAAUGUAUGAAGCAAAGAUGUAAAUGUUUCCUCAGUGAGGCAGUGCAUUUUGUUUGUUUUAUCCCUGUAUAUUUCCAUGCUGGUAUUGCUUUAGCUAUUAUUUUUUCACCAGACUUAUUCAUUUUUAUUUUCUUUUAUUAGUUGUAGUAUUCUUGUAAUUGUUAUUAUUAUAUUAUAAUGGUAAUAUUUAUUAUUUUUUAUGCUUUUGUUUUUCUCUUUAAUUGUAUUUUCCUUAUUUUUUUUUUUUCAUUUGCAUUAUAAACAGUAAACAGUUUUGUAUUAAUUACAUUAUAGAGGUAAAACAAAACAAAAGUUUCAUGAGAUACUUUUAAAUUAUUAGUUGGUGUGUGUGUGUGUGUGUGUGUGUGUGUGUGUGUGUGUGUGUGUGUGUGUGUGUGUGUGUGUGUGUGUGUGUGUGUGUGUGUGUGUGUGUCUGUGUCUGUGUGUGUGUGUUUCCAUUCUUAAUGCUUGGGAGUACCAGUUGUUACCUUUAUUUCUUUAGAUGUAGGGCUAUGUUACUUGUCUGUAAAGAUAGAGCUAUUGGAAGCAUAGUUUAUGAGAUGAAAUCUUUGUGCUAAUGUUGCACUGAACAAAGUUGUAAAACAUGCACAAGAAAUCAAUAUAGGAAAAGUAUUAUAUUUAAUGAUUAUAGAGAUUUAUUAGUGUAUUUCACUAAUGUUUGUGUAAACUUGAUAUUCACUUUCAUCCAAGCAGACAUGUAUUGCAAGGUGAAUAAAAGAGUGUAGAUCUGUUGAUACCUUCAGUGCAUUUGUGUUGUUGACUUUAGGUAGGUUACAGGCUAUUCAUCAUAUAAUGAAUUAGUCUAAAUUUACAGCAGCCAUUAAAUUAUUUCCCUUAAGUCAGGCUAUAAUUUACAGAAACAGGAAGUAUUAUAUACCAUUCCAGUGUCACUGUAUACAUUUAUGAGUGCUUAUUCUCACCAGUUUGUGUAUAUGUCUGUCUAUGCACACACACAUACACUACAUGUAUAGGAUGGAAGAGUUUUCAUUGUCCUAUCUUUGCUUAAUUUGGUGAACUUUCUAUUUGUGUACCAGUGCAUGAAACUAGUCACAAUAAAGUGACUGCCAUUUCAGUAUUGUUGUACAAAUUAAACAAGUUGGCUACAUAUUUGACACAGACACACUAGCCCAUCCACACAUUUACGAAUGCAUGCAUGUAUCCCCAAGAGAUCCCCACACCCAUACCCAUCCAACCCCUCACACACAUGUAUAAUAAAAGAAAUUAGAAAUAUAUAUAUAUAUUACAAUUAUAUUUUAGAUUUAUUGAUCUUUUUUUUUUUUUUUUUUUUUUUUUUUUUUUUUUUUUUUUUUUUUUUUUACAUAAAUGAUAAACAGUAAUAUUUAACCCAUUCGCCACAUGUGGCAAGAAUAGAUGCCAUACCCACAUUGAUACACGUUUAUUUGUUGUAUUUACACAUAGAUGGUUCUACAAGUUGUUAAUCACCAAAUAGCCAGUUAUCCAGAACUACCUAUUUCACCUGUUUACCUUUUCCCUUCACUUUAGGAAAGGGUUUUUUGUAUCAUUUCAUUGUCUAAAAUAUUCUAAUGACAAUUUGGUAAUCAUAACAUCAAUAACAAUAAUAACAGUAACAAAAGCAAUGGUAUUAAUUUUCCCGCCAAUUCAAUGAAUGGAAAAACCAGGGUCGGUAACUAAGGCCUACUGAUAGACUCCUUGAAUUUUGUGAAUGAAACAAAAUUCACCAAAACCUACAGGGGACAGAACAUAAAUCCGUGGCAAAUGGGUUAAUGUAUUCAUUUCUAUGUAUUAGAUUACAUGUAAAUUUCAUAAAUAUUGCUGAAAGUUUAGUGUCAUGUCACAUUAUACUACAUGUUCUUCAAAGAUUAGGAGUAUUUUGUGACCAGUUUUAAAGGUGAAGAUUUACUAAAGGUAUAACAUAUAAGAAAUGUUUUGUUUCCAUGUAUUAUUAUUGGAUUUUAUGUUAGAGUUAUAUGUGUAAAGUAAAAAAAAAUAUAUCUUGUGGAAUAAAAUAAUGUGACAUAAGAAAUACUAAUUGUUUGAGAAAUGUAUCAGUAGUCUAUAAUUUGGAUAGGUUAUUGGAUUUCCAUGUAUUAUUAUUGGAUUUUAUGUUAGAGUUAUAUGUAUAAAGUAAAAAAAAAAAUAUUUUGUGGAAUAAAAUAAUGUGACAUAAGAAAUACUAAUUGUUUGAGAAAUGUAUCAGUAGUCUAUAAUUUGGAUAGGUUAUUAGACUUAACAAUGUGUUUCAGUCAUUUUGUCUGUAGGUUUUUUUGUGUAGUUUCACAAUCCCUUAUCCAAAAAACACUGGGCCAGCUGUUUGGGGGAUUUAAUUUUUGGUCUGAUUUUAUAAAUGAAAUUAGCUCCCUACUGGGGCAUAGGACAGUACUCCACAAUCAAACAUUACUACCACAACAAAAGUUUAUUAUAUCUUUAGAAUUUUGGAUAAAGGAUUGUAAACCUAUAUUUGUUAUUCAUUCUUGGUGCAUGUUUAAGCAAUACACAUGGCAAAAACUCCACAGCAUUUACUUCUAUAUGUAGUAAAUAGCUAAUGUUGUUGUCAGCAAAGAAAGUAACUUUUACACCAACACUAACCUACAGCUAACCUUUACUAACAUCCCUUUUGCUUCCCUCUUUUUUUUUUUUUUUUUUUUUUA